ensembl:lncRNA
GAACUUCCCACCUCCCUCAUCCACCACAGAACUAACCUGUGAGCUAGCUUUUUGUUGUUCAGGGAUAGAAAAGUUCACAAAUUGUAGAGGAGAGUCUGUGUGACACAACGAUGGUAGGUGGGUUAACCCAAGACAGCGCUUAAGAUCAGCCCAGAGAAGUAACCACAAAGCACAGGAAGUCAUGGCUCCCAGAAGGCUAUCUGGAUCGCCUUCGGGAAGGUUCCAGCAGUGAAGCAGUCGGCAAUAUGGGCUUCAGAAACUUCGGCACAGCUCCGGCCGGUAUUCCCAGAGGACAAAACUCUUGUCAUCUGCCCCAUUUUACAUAGCAACAAUGGCAGGAGCUGCAAGCAGAAGCUUCUCCUAUGUCCUCUUUAUUUGUAUCAGGUGUGAAUUCCAGAUCAUGACACAGGAGCAGCCUAAGAGCUAUGGAAACUGCAGGAGAUAAAAUUGACAUGAGCAGCUGUAAGACUGGCUAGCUAAAUAAAGAAUGACACUGAAUAAAGAUAUGGAGAAAGAAAAGGAAGAUGGAUAGGAGAAAAUAACAGAGAAACCAAGCUUUGGCCUGAACAAUAAGGAAAAACAAUUUUGAAAAAACUUCAAGAAGAAUUUCUCACAAAGUUGAGAAUUAGAAGAAACAACACCUGAAAAAGUUUUCAUCUUUUGCAAGCUGCAUCCUGGGAUCAAAAGGUUUGAAAGUGAAAAGUUG